CCUACGGGAGGCUGCAGUAGGGAAUCUUCCACAAUGGGCGAAAGCCUGAUGGAGCAACGCCGCGUGGGUGAAGAAGGUCUUCGGAUCGUAAAACCCUGUUGUUAGAGAAGAAAGUGCGUGAGAGUAACUGUUCACGUUUCGACGGUAUCUAACCAGAAAGCCACGGCUAACUACGUGCCAGCAGCCGCGGUAAUACGUAGGUGGCAAGCGUUAUCCGGAUUUAUUGGGCGUAAAGGGAACGCAGGCGGUCUUUUAAGUCUGAUGUGAAAGCCUUCGGCUUAACCGGAGUAGUGCAUUGGAAACUGGGAGACGUGAGUGCAGAAGAGGAGAGUGGAACGCCAUGUGUAGCGGUGAAAUGCGUAGAUAUAUGGAAGAACACCAGUGGCGAAAGCGGCUCUCUGGUCUGUAACUGACGCUGAGGUUCGAAAGCGUGGGUAGCAAACAGGAUUAGAUACCCCUGUAGUC
rnacentral:rRNA from 1 species